rnacentral:misc_RNA from 1 species
GAAAUGCGAUAAGUAAUGUGAAUUGCAGAAUUCCGUGAAUCAUCGAAUCUUUGAACGCACAUUGCGCCCCCUGGCAUUCCGGGGGGCAUGCCUGUCCGAGCGUCAUUGCGAACCCUCAAGCCCGGCUUGUGUGAUGGGUCGAAGCGUCCCCCCGCCCCCCUGUCGGGGAGGGGACGGGCCCGAAAGGCAGUGGCGGCGUCGCGGUGAUCCGAUCAGCGAAAGCGUAUGGGGACAAUCCGUCACACGCUAGCGGCGCGGACCGACGCCCGCCCGGAGCCGUCCCCGGACGGUGACGGCGAACCUUCUCGUUUCUCCAAGGUUUGACCUCGGAUCAGGUAGGGAUACCCGCUGAACUUAA